GGGCAUAGCUUAGUGGUAGAGUGCGUGCUUGGCAUGCGCGAGGUUCUGGGUUCAAUUCCUCAGUACGCCCA
rnacentral:tRNA from 1 species